rnacentral:rRNA from 1 species
CGUUCGGAACGGACGCUAAUACCGCAUACGUCCUACGGGAGAAAGCACUGGGACCUUCGGGCCUUGCGCUAUCAGAUGAGCCUAGGUCGGAUUAACUAGUUGGUGAGGUAAUGGCUCACCAAGGCUACGAUCCGUAACUGGUCUGAGAGGAUGAUCAGUCACACUGGAACUGAGACACGGUCCAGACUCCUACGGGAGGCAGCAGUGGGGAAUAUUGGACAAUGGGCGAAAGCCUGAUCCAGCCAUGCCGCGUGUGUGAAGAAGGUCUUCGGAUUGUAAAGCACUUUAAGUUGGGAGGAAGGGCAUUAACCUAAUACGUUAGUGUUUUGACGUUACCGACAGAAUAAGCACCGGCUAACUCUGUGCCAGCAGCCGCGGUAAUACAGAGGGUGCAAGCGUUAAUCGGAAUUACUGGGCGUAAAGCGCGCGUAGGUGGUUUGUUAAGUUGAAUGUGAAAUCCCCGGGCUCAACCUGGGAACUGCAUCCAAAACUGGCAAGCUAGAGUAUGGUAGAGGGUAGUGGAAUUUCCUGUGUAGCGGUGAAAUGCGUAGAUAUAGGAAGGAACACCAGUGGGGCCGAAGGCGACUACCUGGACUGAUACUGACACUGAGGUGCGAAAGCGUGGGGAGCAAAUAGAAAUUAGAUACCCUGGUAGUCCACGCCGUAAACGAUGUUUACUAGCCGUUGGGAGUCUUNGAACUCUUAGUGGCGCAGCUAACGCAUUAAGUUGACCGCCUGGGGAGUACGGCCGCAAGGUUAAAACUCAAAUGAAUUGACGGGGGCCCGCACAAGCGGUGGNAGCAUGNUGGNUUUAAUUNCGAAGCAACGCGAAGAACCNUUNACCNAGGNCCUUGANCAUCCNAAUGNAACUUUNCNUAGAGAUNAGNAUUNGGUNGCCNUUNCGGGAANCAUUNGAGANCNAGGNUGCNUGCAUNNGGCNUGNUNCNGUCNAGCUCNNGNUGUCGUGNAGAUNGUUGGGUUNAAGUCCCNGNUAACGNAGCGCNAACCCNUUNGUUCCNUUNAGUUACCNNAGCACNGNUAAUGGUGNGGNCNACNUCUAAGGNAGACNUGNCCGGUGACMAACCGGAAGGAAGGUGGGGAUGACGUCAAGUCAUCAUGGCCCUUACGGCCUGGGCUACACACGUGCUACAAUGGUCGGUACAAAGGGUUGCCAAGCCGCGAGGUGGAGCUAAUCCCAUAAAACCGAUCGUAGUCCGGAUCGCAGUCUGCAACUCGACUGCGUGAAGUCGGAAUCGCUAGUAAUCGUGAAUCAGAAUGUCACGGUGAAUACGUUCCCGGGCCUUGUACACACCGCCCGUCACACCAUGGGAGUGGGUUGCACCAGAAGUAGCUAGUCUAACCUUCGGGAGGACGGUUACCACGGUGUGAUUCAUGACU